UCACUUCCGCUGCUGCGCAUCACGCUCAGGUGUGCUCCUCAGGUGCGCCAAAGUUUAAUAUCGACCCUGGACCACUCGAGCGGAUGACGGGUGUCCGAGUUUGGAUGAAAAUGCUGCGAAAAGAAGCAUUGGUUGAACUCAGAAUGCAGGGUUUUCUUCUUGUUUCUUUGUACAGGUGUGUGCAGGUGUUUCCUCGCUCUGUGCUGCAGCUCAGAGGAUGAUGAGAUCAACCAACACAGUCAGUGUGUGUGUGUGUGUGUGUGUGUGUGUGUGUGUGUGUGUGUGUGUGUGUGUCUCUGAGCUGAACGGUCUGCAGAGAAAGAGAGCUACCGAGGUCCUCAACCUGCUGCUACGAGACCUCAGUGACAUCGGCGCCAUCAUCGGCACCAGUGAUGUCAACACAGCUUCCUCAGAGUCAAAGGGGAACGGCUCAGCGGUGGAGGAGGAGUUCACAUCAGCAAGUUCAAGUCUGAGGUCAAGUCUCUGGUGAACCGCAGCAAACAGCUGGAGAGCACGCAGGCCGACGCCCACACAAACAUUCAGGCCAAUGACAAGGAGACAUGAUGGAGACGAGGACAUCAAGGAAGUGCUCUGGAGUGCAACAGGAAGUGCUCUGGAUUUAGCAACAGGAAGUUAUAAAGGAAACAGGAAGUUGAGAGUUCUUUCUUUAAUCUGCCCACAGCAGGCAGCAACAGCAAUGAGCUGCACCUGAAGGGAGCAAAGAGAUGGUCUGCCACAUAUUCACCACAUUGAAUAAGGACUGAAAACUACAAGACACAACAAUAAACUAAUACAAGUUCUUGCUAAUGCUAAGCUACAUGCUAAUGCUAACAUACAUGCUAAGCCACAUGGUAUGCUACAUCAGAUGCAAUACAUAACAAAUUAUAACAAUGCUAAUGCUAAGCUACAUGCUAAUGCUAAACCUUAACUUCAAUAAAGGAACUUACAUUGCUGUUGCUGCCUGCUGUGGGCAGCCUUGAAGAUUAAAGAAACAACCCUCAACUUCCUGUUUCCUUUAUAACUUCCUGUUCCCUGAAUGACCUACAGAGAGGAGAGUUGUGUUCUUGGUCUUAACAUAUCAUAUAAAAAGUGUCUCCACUGACUUCACUGAUGCUCCAUAUUUUACUGAUGCUCCUUUUAACUUUGAACAUUGUCCAUUUACUAUUCUGUUUUUGUACAUUUACAUUUAAUCUUUCUAUUUAAGUCUAGUAAUGCUAAGUUAAGUCCUGGUUGUAU